GGCCUACCAUGGUUUUAACGGGUAACGGGGAAUUAGGGUUCGAUUCCGGAGAGGGAGCCUGAGAAACGGCUACCACAUCCAAGGAAGGCAGCAGGCGCGCAAAUUACCCAAUCCCGACACGGGGAGGUAGUGACAAUAAAUAACAAUACAGGGCUCUUACGGGUCUUGUAAUUGGAAUGAGUACAAUUUAAAUCCCUUAACGAGGAACAAUUGGAGGGCAAGUCUGGUGCCAGCAGCCGCGGUAAUUCCAGCUCCAAUAGCGUAUAUUAAAGUUGUUGCAGUUAAAAAGCUCGUAGUUGAAUUUCGGAGUUCUACCGUCGGUCGGGCUACCAAGUCUGUACUGGUGUGUAGAAUUCCUACCUUCUGGGGAACCAUCAUGUUAUUAAUUUAGCGUGGUGGGAAACCAGGACCUUUACCUUGAAAAAAUUAGAGUGUUCAAAGCAGGCUUAUGUCUGAAUACAUUAGCAUGGAAUAAUAGAAUAGGACGGUGGUCCUGUUUUGUUGGUUUCUGAAUCACCGUAAUGAUUAAUAGGGAUAGUUGGGGGCAUUAGUAUUCAAUUGUCAGAGGUGAAAUUCUUGGAUUUAUUGAAGACUAACUUCUGCGAAAGCAUUUGCCAAGGAUGUUUUCAUUAAUCAAGAACGAAAGUUAGGGGAUCGAAGACGAUCAGAUACCGUCGUAGUCUUAACCAUAAACUAUGCCGACUAGGGAUCGGACGAUGUUAAAUUUUAUUGACUCGUUCGGCGCCUUACGGGAAACCAAAGUGUUUGGGUUC
rnacentral:rRNA from 1 species